AAAGGAAACUGUAUGUACUGAAAGCAAACUGUGCUGACUAAAAAAUUCAUUUCAACUGGAUAUCUUCGAAUCCUUAAUCUGGUGAUUUAACUUAAGGAAGACCAUGUUCCAGAGCUUUUUAUUUGAAAUGGGGAGUAAGUAUUGGAUUGGGAUAAUGGAUAGUUUUAUCCCCAAGCCAAGUCCAUCUGAAGAAGCUGAUUAUUAUAUUUAUAUUGCGUGUAAGCCUGUAUCUUUGAAAAUAUUAUCAACAAUAAUUACAAAGGACAAUUACAACACCAAAUAUUGAUGUCACGUUUGUGUCUUGAACGUUUAAAAACGUUGUAUAUCAGGAAGAAUAUUCAGUGGUCCAUAAAAUAACUAUAUGGAGACACGAAUAGACAAAAAUGUCUCGUGAUAAAACGAUAUAUUUUGAACCAAGUUCGCCGACUGACCAACCGAGCAGGUGUUUCGGUAUAAAAGUGAGAAUGUGGUUUGCUGUUGAAUAUAGAAUUUUAAAAAAAUAUGCGCAGCUUCCCCAGACAUUCCGUGUUUGAAUUGUUGGUAUUUUAGGUAAAUCUUGGCGCCAUAAUCAUUCAUAUGAAGGAAGAAAUUUUAUAACUGCAGGAAGUCAAGACUUACAAGCUAUUGUUCUAAGACUAAAUAUAACUAAGGGUGCGGGCUUGUGUGAAAAGAAAAAUAGCACAAUUAUAGCAAGGAUUUUUUACAACAGGAUGAACUUGCAAAGGUUUCUUUGAUUUCUAAGAAAGACUAAAUUGGUUUCGAGAAUACUAUAGGCGACGCACUUUUGAAAUUCAAUAACACAAAGUUAUACUAAAUCCUGCCAUAAAAGAGAGACAUUUUGGCAUUUUGAGUACGAAAUACCUAAGAUAACAGUUAUUUCGUGCCAAUUGUUUUGAAUCGGUCCAACAUUGUGAAUUAUCAAAUAUUUAUUCGGAGCCAGGAAGAUCGCUGUUGUGACGUUCGUCUUCCGCAGGUGUAAGAACAAAGUCAUUAUUGCGUGGGAAGGUAAUUGUUUAACAUGAAGUUAUCAAUAUUGUUAUUUAAAUACAACAUAAAACAGUCAGAAUUCAUAAGUGAAGCAAUUCAGUGCGCUCACCAGUGUUCAAAGUCAAAGACAGCAGAACUUGACAUAUAAAUUUGACAAAAGCACGCAGCGUUAAACAACUUUCAACUCACCAGCUUAUGGGUUUCUCACCGAAUGGUAAUAAACCGAAUCCAACCGAACAGAAUACAGUGGAAAAAAGCAGCGAGACCUCUCAAGCUUGUCAGACUGUUGGAAUAAUAUUAAGGUUUGUUGGCGAUAAAUGGAACACUACACAUGCCAGUAAAGUUAAUUACCAGUUGACAUGAGUUGGCUCUAAAAGACCUUUGCUGCUGUGAAUAAGACAGACAAAGCACGGAAUCUAUAAACUAAUAACUAUAAUUAUUUAUUUUAAACGCGAAUGAUAUUCGUAAUUCUAUGAAAUGAAACACGCAGAAGACUUUAGCUGGUCACAAUGACGCAAAAGAAAUCACGAAAGGUACACAUCAAGCAAGUUGAACGUUAUUUAUUGUUGCCAAAUAAGGCCAAAAACUUUUAUAAAACUACCUCUCACUCAUAUUCAAUGUACAAAUUGGAACAAAAAUGAUUUAAAUUCACGUUUAA